UCGACGAUGGUGGUCUCACACGUGCUGUUUCCCUCUUUACUGCGAGGGAACCUCAAGCUUAUAUAACCCGCAGCGCUACCAAGGCAGGAGGGAGAGCCAUCCUGGAGGCUUGCGUGAGCAACGUCGACGGACGGGUUCCUUCGGCAGAUUACGGCAGUUGUCUACUACAGGAAACUACGAUUCAUGCUUGCCAAGAGGAAUUCUAGCUCCCUCGACAGUGCCGUGAACGGACCUGCUACAGCAGAUGCCUUCCACUUCGUAUGCUUCCCCAAAUAGUUCAGCAACACAGCCCUCGGAAACCCGCUGCGCAGCAACUUUACGGUAGCAGCGCCAUCAGAGUCGACGACGUCGUCCUCCUGCGUAGGGUGCUGUCCGCGGAUACUGACUGCCCUUCCGCUGAAAUUUUGCCCUUGUCAGACCUUUGAAAAGGUGGGAGUGUGGUAAUAGGAAGGAGUUAUCGCGAAGUCCCCCAUCUUAAACAUGGUGUCCCUUCUCUACUGCGAGGGAACCUGAAGCUUGUCCAGCCGUGGCUGGAAAACAAACGUCUUCACUAGUGUUGCUGCAGAGGACAGAUUACGACGCAGUGGUUUUCUACAGGAAACUGUCGUGUAUGCAAAUAAACAUGCUGUUGUUGGUUA